GACGAACGCUGGCGGCGUGCUUAACACAUGCAAGUCGAACGGAAAGGCCCUGCUUUUGUGGGGUGCUCGAGUGGCGAACGGGUGAGUAACACGUGAGUAACCUGCUCUUGACUUUGGGAUAACUUCGGGAAACUGGGGCUAAUACCGGAUAGGAGCUCCUGCUGCAUGGUGGGGGUUGGAAAGUUUCGGCGGUUGGGGAUGGACUCGCGGCUUAUCAGCUUGUUGGUGGGGUAGUGGCUUACCAAGGCUUUGACGGGUAGCCGGCCUGAGAGGGUGACCGGCCACAUUGGGACUGAGAUACGGCCCAGACUCCUACGGGAGGCAGCAGUGGGGAAUAUUGCACAAUGGGCGGAAGCCUGAUGCAGCAACGCCGCGUGCGGGAUGACGGCCUUCGGGUUGUAAACCGCUUUCGCCUGUGACGAAGCGUGAGUGACGGUAAUGGGUAAAGAAGCACCGGCUAACUACGUG
rnacentral:rRNA from 1 species